GCCCCAGCAGCCCCCGGCCCGCCGGGACACACCGCCUGCCCGCCGCGGGGUUCCAUGGGACGGACAGGCCGACCUCCCCAUAGCCAACCCCGCCUGGGCGCGGCUACCGACCACCACCUUUACAGGACCGGCCGAUUAAAACCGUACGCCGGCCGCUGGGAUUCAAGGCCGCAAGGACCGCCAUGUGAGGCACCGCGGGGACAGGGCCUCGGGGCGGGCUUCUCCCGGGCCGCCGCUAUGAGGGGAGGCGGCGAGGGAGCUCCGCGCUGCUUUGCCGCGACCGCCUGCAAAGCACCAAGGCUUGGGGUUGGAAAGACUACUUUGAUACAGAAAGUCACUCAAGCUCUGAAAUCCUCAGGCAUUUCCAUUGAUGGAUUCUACACAGAGGAGGUUAGAGAAGGUGGCAGGAGAACAGGAUUUGAUGUUGUCACUUUGUCUGGAAAACGAGGACCUUUAUCUAGAGUCAGUUCUGGUUCUUCUACUUCAAGACGUGAAUAUCGAGUUGGACAGUAUGUUGUAGACCUUGUUUCAUUUGAGCAGCUGGUUCUACCUAUGCUGAGAAAUGUAAGCCAUGGCAGUGAUGCAGAGAAAACAGUUUGUGUCAUAGAUGAGGUUGGGAAAAUGGAACUCUUCAGCCAGGCUUUUAUUCAAGCUGUUCGUCAAACACUGACUGGCUCAGGGACUGUGGUGCUUGGAACUAUUCCAAUACCUAAGGGAAAGCCACUGGAUCUUGUUGAAGAAAUAAGAAGUAGGAAAGAUGUUAAAGUGUUCAAUGUCAGUAAGGAAAACAGAAACAGCAUUUUGCAAGACAUCUUGGCAGCUGUGGAAUCCUGCAGAAAAUGAAGUCCUUGCCUGUAAACACUGAAGCUUUUAUUUUUACAAAACAUUACAACAUUUUGCAGAUGUUUUAGAAUCUGUCCUUCCUGCUUUAGUCCCUGGAGGCUUUACUGGAGCCUUCAGAAUAAGCAAGUGUUUUAAAAAAGCUGUGAUGACAUUGCAGAGAUUCCUACGAACUUAAUUGUUUCAGAAUGUCAUUCAUGGUUAUUGAGGUGAUCUGGCCGUCUUGUCAAGGGGAAAAAAAAGACUCACUUUACUCACUCACAAAAAGAAGUUUGCAUGGAAGGAAACUGCAGGAAACAGCAGGACCUCCAGCGUUUGUACUUCGGAAUGAACAGAAACAGUCUUUGUACAUUGUGCCCAUCGCUGUUUCCUACUUGUGGUGGGAAAGAGCCGGGCUGAAGGCCAGGCCAGGGACUUGCCAGCGUACCUGGGGGAUGUGAGUUCAGCGGUCUGUGGUUUGCUUUGGAAAAAUGUUACUAAAAACCUUUUUACCAGAUCUUUGGGCCAUGAUUCACCCUUAGGAGUAUAGCACCUGGCUUUUGAGUUAUGAUGUAAACAAGAGCUUAGUAGUGAAAGGAAAGUUCAGGAAAACAAAAUAGGAGGGGGUCAGUGUCCCACAUGCAACGAAAGGGCUUAAGUACUGUGUUUGUGCUACUGUUCUGUUCCUCUCUGUGAGGGCCCCACUGAGCCAGUGUGGAUAAAAAUCACUCACAAUGUUUCUUUUCAGCAAAGGUGAUGUUACCUGGAUUAAGCUCUGUCCCUUCUGCCAUUUCUAUGGAAGAGCCUCAUGUACUCUUGUGGAUUGAGUUUUUGGCUUCCUCAAAGGACACGUUCAGCCUUCCAGCAAGAUGGGAACGUCACGGCUUUCAGGUUGUAGAAACAAGGAGGUUCUGGGCUGGUUGAACAAGCAUCUGGCAGGCUUCUGCCUUUACCCCUUGCUGAGUAAGUGGCCUCUGUGGGUCUGGAAAAAUCCCCGAAAUCUUCAAAACUGACACAAAAUGAAACUGUGUGUAAAAGGUACUUGUGUCGUUGGGAGUGGCCGUUCUUCCUGCAUCACAGCUACGGUAAGAAAUCAGACCUGUAAUGCAUGCAGACUGUUCAGCCUGAGGAGCUUCUGGGCCAAGUUCUAACAACUGCGUUACACGCAGUGAAACCUGCCAUCAGUGCUGCAACUGACUUAAAAGCAGAGCUUUUCAUUUAAAGCCCAAAACUGCCCAACAGGUGGGGUUCCUGAGGUGUCACAGGUACCUCCAUCUUGCAACUCUGAAGCAUUUCAUGUAUAAGGUUAAGUAUCAGGCUGCUUAGGUCUCUCUGGAAUAAAAGUAUGGGUAAGAUCAUACGCCGAGAACAGCACCCUAUGGACUCAGGUGCCUUUUGGUGCUACGCAGAGCUGUUCUGUGCAGCUUACUGUUGAAAUUAGGCCUCCUGUAAAGUCUUAGUACCUGUUCGUUAGCUUUGUGUGUACCAGAGCCUUAAAUGCAUCUUCAUCAGGUAGAAAGUAAUUGGGUCUGUCUCUACCUCAUGCAAACAUGGUGGAAUCUAAGAUGAUGUUUAAUCAGUACAAUGUCAUACCUAGUUCCACGUUUUAUUUCUAACCAUCAUGUCUUAUUAUUCUGUAGGUUUAGUAUGCUUGAGUUGGAUACAUAGAAUAUUUUAGGUUAAUUAGGACUACUGGAGUUACUUAUUUUUGAUGGAAAUUAAUUAAAACUUAAGCUAUUGUAGUAGACUGCCAUGGAAAAGCCCAGAGUGCAGAAACGGGGCUGGUGGCUGUCACUAAGAGCUCUCCACCCACCUGUGUAACCUCCAUCCGUCAUGUGUAAUGAAGCACCUCAUGAGCAGGGUAGGGGGAAGAAAGGCACCAUCUGCCAGAAAUGGUCGGAAGGGAGCAGCUGAAUUCAAUUUUCUCUUCUACAUCACACCUGGGUGCUGGAGGAGACAUUAGCAAGGCCUAAACCAUGCUGGUGACUGUGUGUCGGGGUCUGUACAUUAAUAAUCUGCUUCUGCCCUUGCGAACAUGAGCAGAAUUUUGCCUAGGCUGUGUUGGGCUUUAUAAAUAAUCAAUUCAUUAAUAUCUGAACUGAAGGAAAAACAAUAGAUUUCUUAAUUUCAGAAGGCAGAAAGCAAAUGAAAACAAUUCAGAACGAAAACCCAAAAACUGCUGCCACACAAAAGGUACUUGGAUCAUUUUAUUUUCACUAGGUGUUAUUUAGUUCUACUACUUAAGUGUGGCACAGUAGGAAGCUCAGAAUGCAACUGUGUAUCACCUAACAGAAUGAGACUUAGCUACAGCAGCUCUUGUUAAAUCUGUCUUGUUAAUUGGGACAAGAUGGCCUGGCUGCACAUCAUUGUGUUGAGAAUUAGAAACAACCUAUGGUAGUUACAGUAAAGAGGAACAGCAAGACACUGAUAGCUGCAAUUUUUUUAAUUAAAAAAAAAAAAACAACAAAAAUGAGCACACGUGCGUGCUAAGGAAAAAUUCGUUGUAGCCUUUUGGCUUCCAUAGUAGUCAUGCAUUCCUGUAAAUCAGUGUUUCUCAAACUUUGUGAAGGCGCAGCCUCCCUUGUUUGCCUCAUCUGUCUUUAUGCAACUAUUAAAUUGGCAGCAGCUCAGUUUCUCUGGGGGAGGGAAAUCAGAAGGCUCUGUAAUUACUGGCUACAAGUGUUUAUGGACACUGAGCUGUGUCCAGCAAUUAAAGGCAUUUAGCUGUUCCCUUCCUAAUACAAACACUUCCAGACGAUAAUUACAGCCUGCUUUGCACUUUCCUGUUCUUGAGGAGGAUUCCCCUGGGUGCUUCGGCAACUCCCAAGGGGGCUGUUGCCUGGAAUUUGAAAAACACUGGUGUAAACCAAACAGGAGCACGAGAUAAUACCUAAGAGCAGCUGUUUAUGUAAAGCUGCUUUCUUUGCAAAUGAGGUGCACCAUAUGCUUUGAAGGCUUUCCAUGCACUGGAUACUUUCUUUUCUCACGCUUGACUUUUGUUAAACUGUGUAGCGUGGCUCAAUCACGUAAUAUUUCAAUAUGGCUGCAUGCAGUAUAUCAAUCUGUGAUGGUAUGUUGCUAUUCAGAAUUACCACCUGCAUAACAUGUUAAAUAGAAAUAAAAAAUAUUUGCUUUGGAAAAAAA